GCCAUCAAGUUGGCUCAGUCAGUGGAGCAUGAGACUCUUAAUCUCAGGAUUGUGGGUGUAGGCCCCACAACGGCA